GCUUGCUUGUUGGGGUUGUAGGACACUCUAUACGGAGUUACAAAGGACGACAUUAGACGAAUCAUCUGGAAAGAUGAAUCAAAGAAGGUAAUAAUCCUGUAGUCGAAAAUGUUGUCUCUCUUGAGUGGAUCCUGAGUACGACGGAGCACGUGAAAUUCCGUCGGAAUCUGGGAGGACCAUCUCCUAAGGCUAAAUACUCUCUAGUGACCGAUAGUGAACCAGUACCGUGAGGGAAAGGUGAAAAGCACCCCGGAAGGGGAGUGAAAUAGAACCUGAAACCGUGUGCUUACAAGUAGUCAGAGCCCGUUAAUGGGUGAUGGCGUGCCUUUUGUAGAAUGAACCGGCGAGUUACGAUUUGAUGCAAGGUUAAGCAGUAAAUGUGGAGCCGUAGCGAAAGCGAGUCUGAAUAGGGCGUUUAGUAUUUGGUCGUAGACCCGAAACCAGGUGAUCUACCCUUGGUCAGGUUGAAGUUCAGGUAACACUGAAUGGAGGACCGAACCGACUUACGUUGAAAAGUGAGCGGAUGAACUGAGGGUAGCGGAGAAAUUCCAAUCGAACCUGGAGAUAGCUGGUUCUCUCCGAAAUAGCUUUAGGGCUAGCCUCAAGUGAUGAUUAUUGGAGGUAGAGCACUGUUUGGACGAGGGGCCCCUCUCGGGUUACCGAAUUCAGACAAACUCCGAAUGCCAAUUAAUUUAACUUGGGAGUCAGAACAUGGGUGAUAAGGUCCGUGUUCGAAAGGGAAACAGCCCAGACCACCAGCUAAGGUCCCAAAAUAUAUGUUAAGUGGAAAAGGAUGUGGCGUUGCCCAGACAACUAGGAUGUUGGCUUAGAAGCAGCCAUCAUUUAAAGAGUGCGUAAUAGCUCACUAGUCGAGUGACACUGCGCCGAAAAUGUACCGGGGCUAAACAUAUUACCGAAGCUGUGGAUUGUCCUUU
rnacentral:rRNA from 1 species